rnacentral:rRNA from 1 species
AUGGCCAGCGGCAACGCGUCCACCGUCUACCUCUCCGUCGUCGAGGAAGUCCUCGCCAAAGUUCGUAAGGAGUUCAUCACCUCCGGCGUUGGCGACGCCGUCCUCAACGAGCUCCAGUCUCUCUGGGAGACGAAGUUGCUGCACUGUGGCGCAAUCUCAGGGAACACCGACCGCAACAGGGCUUCCCCCGCCGGAGCGUCCGCUGGAGGCGCGACUCCACCGGUUCACGAUCUCAACGUGCCCUACGAGGCCACGUCCGAGGAGUACGCCACCCCAACCGCCGACAUGCUCUUCCCACCGACGCCGCUGCAGACACCGAUCCAGACACCGCUUGAAGCUGGGAUCGAUACGGGGCCGUUGGACUAUGCCCCAUCGCCGAUCAGUGCCAUGAGAAACGGGAUGGGGAUGAUGAACGGGGCUGAUCCAGAGACUGGCCGCCCAAGCCCUUUCAUGCAACCUCCGUCGCCCUGGAUGAAUCAGAGACCACUGGGGCUUGAUGUCAACCUUGCUUUUGCUUAUGAUGAGGAGAUCCGGAUGAUGAUGCAACCCCAGCCACUGACGACCAAGGAUUUUCUCAUGAUGUCUUGUGGAAAACGGAAGAGGGAUGAAUAUACUUCAGCCGGUUCAUUUGUGCCACAACAGGAUGGAUGUGCAGACCAGGUUGCGGUUCAUUAUGAUGCAACCCCAGACUACAAUACCCCUGGGGAAUCUUCGGAAUAUCAAACUCCCACACCUGCUGUUGCAACACCAAAGCCAAGAAACGAUACAGCGGGUGGUGAAGAUGAUGAUGAACCUCCUCUUAAUGAAGAUGACGACGACGAUGACGACAUAGAUGAUGACUUUGAUGAGACGCAGCACCUUGUCCUCGCACAAUUUGACAAGAUAACAAGGACAAAGAAUCGCUGGAAGUGCACUUUGAAGGAUGGAAUCAUGCAUUUGAACGGCAGAGAUGUUCUAUUCAACAAGGCUUCAGGAGAGUUUGAUAUUUGA